rnacentral:lncRNA from 1 species
UUUAAGUCAUUCAUUAAUUAAAAAUAAGCAUUUUACUUAUGGUUAAUUAUAUUUUUCUAACGAAUUCUAAUAAUAAAGAUAUAUUUAAAAAUAUUAGAAUUUUUGUAGAGGAGACGAGGAAACGAGGAAAUGGGCAACACUGUCUGUGUGUUGUGCGGAGGAGACGAGGAAACGGCCGACCAUUUAUUCACCCGGUCCAUUUAUU